AUACGUAUGGCGUAAACGUUGCUCGGAAUUACUGGGCGUAAAGGGUGUGAAGGCGGCAAAAUAAGUUAGUGGUGAAAUCAGAGUGCUUAACACUGUGUGUGCCAUUAAAACUGUUUUGCUAGAGUCGCAAUAGAGGUAGCAGGAAUUCCUAGUGUAGGAGUGAAAUCUGUAGAUAUUAGGAAGAACACCAAAGGCGAAGGCAAGCUGCUGGGUAGCGACUGACGCUAAUGCGCGAAAGCCAGGGGAGCAAACGGGAUUAGAGACCCCGGUAGUCCUGGCCGUAAACGAUGUUCACUAGACUUAUGAUAUUUCCAUAUAUUGUGGGUCACAGUUAACGCGAUAAGUGAACCGCCUGGGGAGUAUGCACGCAAGUGUGAAACUCAAAGGAAUUGACGGGGGCUCGCACAAGCGGUGGAGCAUGUGGUUUAAUUCGAUGAUAAGCGAAGAACCUUACCUGGGCUUAAACUUGUAGUGACAGUCUGUGAAAGCAGGUUUCCCUCCGGGGCGCUAUGAGAGGUGCUGCAUGGCUGUCGUCAGCUCGUGUCGUGAGAUGUUGGGUUAAGUCCUGCAACGAGCGCAACCCUUAUCCCAUGUUGCUAAGUUUUUAACAGGACUCUUGGGAGACUGCCGAGGUUAACUCGGAGGAAGGCGAGGAUGACGUCAAGUCCUCAUGGCCCUUAUGUCCAGGGCUACACACGUGCUACAAUGGGACGUAUAAAGAGCAGCGAAGUCGCGAGGCGGAGCGAAUCUCAAAAAACGUCUCUUAGUUCGGAUCGCAGUCUGCAACUCGACUGCGUGAAGCUGGAAUCGCUAGUAAUCGCGGAUCAGAAUGCCGCGGUGAUACGUUCUCGAGCCUUGUACACACCGCCCGUCACACCACCCGAGUUUAUUCUACACUGAAGUCGCNUGC
rnacentral:rRNA from 1 species